CAGACAGGGACCAGGUGGGGCUGGAGGGAGCUGGGCACGGGAGGCCUUCUGGUCUUCUGAGCAGGAUCAUCUAUCCUGGAAGAAAUACUUUGCGUUCCAGAACCACUGGGCCCAAGAGGUGAGAACAGCCCCAGCUGCCCCAGGAGCCUGCAUAGGCAGAUACACCGGGGACAGCGGAAGCGCCGGGACCUGCUGACCGGCUGGAGCUGGACCCUGAGGUUCGGCAGAGCCGGCUGGGACCUAAGUGUCCUGCAGGAUGCACGUGGUUUACUGCAAGCUGCUGUCGGAGGGUCCGGCC
rnacentral:lncRNA from 1 species